rnacentral:rRNA from 1 species
UGAGGAAUAUUGGUCAAUGGACGAGAGUCUGAACCAGCCAAGUAGCGUGAAGGAUGACUGCCCUAUGGGUUGUAAACUUCUUUUGUAUGGGAAUAAAGUGAGCCACGUGUGGCUUUUUGUAUGUACCAUACGAAUAAGGAUCGGCUAACUCCGUGCCAGCAGCCGCGGUAAUACGGAGGAUCCGAGCGUUAUCCGGAUUUAUUGGGUUUAAAGGGAGCGUAGGCGGAUUAUUAAGUCAGUUGUGAAAGUUUGCGGCUCAACCGUAAAAUUGCAGUUGAUACUGGUAGUCUUGAGUGCAGCAGAGGUAGGCGGAAUUCGUGGUGUAGCGGUGAAAUGCUUAGAUAUCACGAAGAACUCCGAUUGCGAAGGCAGCUUACUGGACUGUAACUGACGCUGAUGCUCGAAAGUGUGGGUAUCAAACAGG